AUUGAACGCUGGCGGCAGGCCUAACACAUGCAAGUCGAACGAGUGGCGGACGGGUGAGUAAUGUCUGGGAAACUGCCUGAUGGAGGGGGAUAACUACUGGAAACGGUAGCUAAUACCGCAUACCAUCGGAUGUGCCCAGAUGGGAUUAGCUAGUAGGUGGGGUAAAGGCUCACCUAGGCGACGAUCCCUAGCUGGUCUGAGAGGAUGACCAGCCACACUGGAACGGAGACACGGUCCAGACUCCUACGGGAGGCAGCAGUUGGGAAUUGUCCGCAAUGGACGAAAGUCUGACGGAGCAACGCCGCGUGAGUGAUGACGGCCUUCGUGUUGUAAAGUACUUUCAGCGGGGAGGCGUUACCCGCAGAGGAAGCACCGGCUAACUCCGUGCCAGCCGCCGCGGUAAUAC
rnacentral:rRNA from 1 species